GGUAAACGCUGGCGGCGUGCCUAAAACAUGCAAGUCGAACGGGCAGUUCUCUUCGGAGGGCUGUCAGUGGCAGACGGCUGAGUAACGCGUGGGUGACGUGUCCAUAGGUGGGAAUAACUGCCCGAAAGGGUGGCUAAUACCGCAUACGCCUGGUGAUUCGGUUUCACCAGGGAAAGCAGAUGAUGUGCCGAUGGAGCGGCCCGCGACCGAUUAGCUAGCUGGUGGGGUAACGGCC
rnacentral:rRNA from 1 species